rnacentral:ncRNA from 2 species
CCUGAAGAACACGGGAGUCCCGGGUAACCAGCGGGGCUGAGAGUGGGCACAGCCGGUGUACAACCGGGCCUGUCCUGACCGUCACACCUGAUCCGGGUCAUGCCGGCGAAGGGAGCAGUAGAUGUCAUCCC